AUGCCACACCCAGCCAGGUUCAGAAACUUCACAAACUGUUUAUAUGGACUUACUGGGGUCACUGGAGGUGACGACGCCGGUGCCCUUGAAGUCGCACGCCAAGUCGGUGUGGCCGUUGGCCUGGUAGUAGGCGUUCAUCACGUACGAGGCAUGAGACUGCAGGCUGUUGGGGCUGAAGCACGCGCCGCCGCCCUGUAUGGGCUUGCAGUCUACGAAGCCGCAGGCGUAGUUGAUGUUGUUCUGCAGGUCCGUCCCGUUGGCGCCGUCCUUGGCGACGCACCACUUCCCGCCUCCGGACGGCGAGGGCUUGGGGCUCGGAUUGGGCGAUGGGCUUGGCGAAGGGUUUGGAGCUACAGACUGCAAGGCAAAACAACAUAA
rnacentral:rRNA from 1 species